GUGGGGAAUAUUGGACAAUGGGCGAAAGCCUGAUCCAGCCAUGCCGCGUGUGUGAAGAAGGUCUUCGGAUUGUAAAGCACUUUAAGUUGGGAGGAAGGGCAGUAAGUUAAUACCUUGCUGUUUUGACGUUACCGACAGAAUAAGCACCGGCUAACUUCGUGCCAGCAGCCGCGGUAAUACGAAGGGUGCAAGCGUUAAUCGGAAUUACUGGGCGUAAAGCGCGCGUAGGUGGGUUUGUAAGUUGGAGGUGAAAUCCCCGGGCUCAACCUGGGAACUGCCUCCAAAACUGCAUGACUAGAGUACGGUAGAGGGUAGUGGAAUUUCCUGUGUAGCGGUGAAAUGCGUAGAUAUAGGAAGGAACACCAGUGGCGAAGGCGACUACCUGGACUGAUACUGACACUGAGGUGCGAAAGCGUGGGGAGCAAACAGGAUUAGAAACCCCGGUAGUCC
rnacentral:rRNA from 1 species